AAAGUUAGCAGAGGUCUAAACCAGCACCACUUGUUCUUUGGAGUGAGAUGGUUCUUUUCAAAACCAUUUUUAGAUUAUUUUAUUUACUUCAAGUAUCUGUGUUCUAAGAUAGGUACCCUCAUCUGCCCUACCCCUGAACAGCACCCAGGGAAUAUCUCUCCUGGACCAUGAUGUCAGGUUACAUCUCAAGGAGAAGGAUUGCCAGAUCAAAAGUCUUGCAGUUAACCAGGCGUGGUGGCAGAUACCUGUAAUCCCAGCUAUUCGGGAGGCUGAGGCAGGAGAAUCGCUUGUACCCGGGAGGCAGAGGUUGCAGUGAGCUGAGACCGCGCCAUUGACUCCUGCCUGAUGACAAGAGAGAAUCUACGUCUCAACAACAACAACACGCUUGGGCACUGUAUUAACUCCAUAAUCGAUGCUCUAACCACAAGCCCAGGAUGUGGUUUGGCCACUAUUGAGUGGUUUGUUCUCUCCAUCUAUUU
rnacentral:lncRNA from 10 species